rnacentral:rRNA from 1 species
GUGAACGCUGGCGGUCGGCCUAACACAUGCAAGUCGAACGGCAGCACAGUAAGAGCUUGCUCUUACGGGUGGCGAGUGGCGGACGGGUGAGGAAUACAUCGGAAUCUACUUUUUCGUGGGGGAUAACGUAGGGAAAUUUACGCUAAUACCGCAUACGACCUACGGGUGAAAGCAGGGGAUCUUCGGACCUUGCGCGAUUGAAUGAGCCGAUGUCGGAUUAGCUAGUUGGCGGGGUAAAGGCCCACCAAGGCGACGAUCCGUAGCUGGUCUGAGAGGAUGAUCAGCCACACUGUAACUGAGACACGGUCCAGACUCCUACGGGAGGCAGCAGUGGGGAAUAUUGGACAAUGGGCGCAAGCCUGAUCCAGCCAUACCGCGUGGGUGAAGAAGGCCUUCGGGUUGUAAAGCCCUUUUGUUGGGAAAGAAAAGCAGCAGGUUAAUACCCCGCUGUUCUGACGGUACCCAAAGAAUAAGCACCGGCUAACUUCGUG